CCUACGGGUGGCUGCAGUGAGGAAUAUUGGUCAAUGGCCGGAAGGCUGAACCAGCCAUGCCGCGUGAAGGGCAGGGCCCUAGGGGCGUUAAACUUCUUUUGUGCGGGAGCAAGAAUGGACACGUGGGGCCAGACGAGAGGACCGUACGAAUAAGCAGCGGCUAACUCCGGGCCAGCAGCCGCGGUAAUACGGGGGAUGCAAGCGUUAUCCGGAUUUCUUGGGUUUAAAGGGUGCGUAGGCUGUGAGGUAAGGCAGCGGGGAAAUGCCCCCGCUCAACGGGGUGAAGUGCCAUUGAUACUGCCUUGCUGGCCUGCGGCUGCCGUGGGAGGAUUGUGUGGUGUAGCGGU
rnacentral:rRNA from 1 species